rnacentral:rRNA from 1 species
CAAUAGCGUAUAUUAAAGUUGUUGCAGUCAAAAAGCUCGUAGUCGGAUUUCGGGUCGGGCCGAGCGGUCUGCCGAUGGGUAUGCACUGUUUGGCGCGGCCUUCUUUCCGGAGACCGCGGCUACUCUUAACUGAGCGGGCGUGGGAGACGGAUCGUUUACUUUGAAAAAUUAGAGUGUUUAAAGCAGGCUUUUGCUGUGAAUACAUUAGCAUGGAAUAAUAAUCUAGGACUUCGGUUCUAUUUUGUUGGUUUCUUAGUACUGAAGUAAUGAUUGAUAGGGAUAGUUGGGGGUGGCUAGUAUUGGCCGGCCAGAGGUGGAAAUUACUUGGAUUCGGUCAAGACUAACUUAUGCGAAAGCAUUCACCAAGGAUGUCUUCUUUUAAUCAAGAACGAAAGUUGGGGGAUCGAAGAUGAUCAGAUACCAU